CCUGCCUGUGGGCUCAUCUUCUGGCAUCACUUCCCCAGUAGAAUUUGGGAAGGCCUCAUUGCCAGGUGAAUGUCCUGCCAUGGCUGCCUACAUGAACGUUGAGGCUGGCUAGUGUUAUGGUGCCAGUGGACUGACCGAUGACAUCUCCAAAGUGAAGAGGCAGGUUACGUCAUAAAUAGCACAGACCUCCUCCUAUGAAAGCUGUGGGUAUGCCCCAGGAG
rnacentral:lncRNA from 1 species